rnacentral:rRNA from 1 species
AGGAUGAACGCUGGCGGCGUGCUUAACACAUGCAAGUCGAACGAUGAACACCGGAGCUUGCUCUGGUGGGAUUAGUGGCGAACGGGUGAGUAACACGUGAGUAACCUGCCCCAGACUCUGGGAUAAGCACUGGAAACGGUGUCUAAUACCGGAUACGACCCUCCACCGCAUGGUGAGGGGGUGGAAAGAAUUUCGGUCUGGGAUGGACUCGCGGCCUAUCAGGUAGUUGGUGAGGUAACGGCUCACCAAGCCGACGACGGGUAGCCGGCCUGAGAGGGUGACCGGCCACGACUGGGACUGAGACACGGCCCAGACUCCUACGGGAGGCAGCGAGUGGGGAAUAUUGCACAAUGGGCGCUAAGCCUGAUGCAGCAACGCCGCGUGAGGGACGAAGGCCUUCGGGUUAGUAACCCGUUGUUUUAACGGUAGG